CAUUCUUUUGCCCCAAAAGCCCAUUAGUCACCUGGAUCCCUUACUGCUGUAGCUUCCUAACUUGCCUCCUCACCUUUAGUCUCUCCCCACCAGUCUAUUCUACAUAAGUCACAAUAAUAAUUUCCUAAAAGUCUCUCUGUCAUCCCAUCCCUCACCAGCUCAAAAUCUAUUGCCAAUGAGAUUGAACCCAGACUCCUUGGCAUAUGUUCCAAAGCCCACCAAAUCUGGACCUAACUGGACCCUCCAGCUUUCCCGCACUUGGCUCACGCCCCAGCCCUCUGUUCUGGUCUCUGGCCUCCUCCACCAACCACUGCCUUUCCUCCUGUUCUUUCCUAGUGUCAAGUGCCAUUCCUCACCCUCACCUGCACCUGUCAAACCAUACCUGUGGUUCAAGGAUGGUUCCGGCCUCACUUCCUCUAAGAAGCUUUCCCUAACCACCUUUAGGGAAGGCUGUGCUCAUUCAGCCUGUGACUCUAUCUUCCCAAGAAAACGACCAGCUCCUCACAGGCCCUAACUCAUAGGCCUCUGAAUCUGCACAAAGCCUAAACACACUACUCCAGCAAAUUCCUUGAACCAAAGAGGAAGAGCAUCACAGGGACCCCAACUUGAAGAUGGAGGGCAGAAGCUUUGGUGUCCCAGACCUGUGACUCAUGUAGGGGAGUGUGGGGCCCAUCUUGGGGACUGAGCCCUCACCCUGUGGGAUCUGACACUAUCUCAAGGAAAUUCACAGUGCUUUCAAUGAAGGCAGGACAGCUCCCUUAAAAUGAACAGAUAAUGACAUCUUUGACGACUCUCUCCUCAUUGGCUGGUAUCUACCCACAGAGCACCCUUAUUCUAGUGGACCUGAACUGGGACCUGGAGGACACAGAAGGGCCGCCACAGUUCUCAGAGGCCACUCAACAUGCACUCCCUGCGGACAAGGAUCUGGACAGGAGAGAUUUCUAGAAGGAAGGGAUCAUAUCACAACUCUGGAAGAAUCCUCUUAUAAGGGAAGUAAUCAAGAAAGAGCAGGUCAGUUUGGAGACCCACAUCUGACGCUGGUCAUCCCUCAGUGAGCUGGCAGCACUGCCGUGGCCACAUUUUCAGUCCAAGACUACGCAGCACUUGUGAUGAGGAUGUGCACCGAUGUCACAACGCCGCCUUCCCCCUUUCCCAUUCGGUCAGUAUCUUCGUACGGGAGAAAAAUCACUAAAAUUUUUCUUUCCAUAAAAACAGU